rnacentral:rRNA from 1 species
GACGAACGCUGGCGGCGUGCUUAACACAUGCAAGUCGAACGGAAAGGCCCUGCUUUUGUGGGGUGCUCUAGUGGCGAACGGGUGAGUAAACCAUGGUUAACCGACCUUCUCCUUGGGGUUAAUUACUGCUAACAGGGGUAACUACUGCCGCGUACCUCCGCCGGACGGAGGGGGGUGGAAAUCUUCGGCGGUUGGGGAUGGUCUUCCGGGUUGUCAGCUUGUUGGGGGGGGAGUGGCUUACCAAGGCUUUGACGGGUAGCCGGCCUGCGAGGGUGACCGGCGACAUUGGGACUGAGAUACGGCCCAGAGUCCUACGGGAGGCAGCAGUGGGGAAUAUUGCACAAUGGGCGGAAGCCUGAUGCAGCAACGCCGCGUGCGGGAUGACGGCCUUCGGGGUGUAAACCGCUUUCGCCUGUGACGAAGCGUGAGUGACGGUAAUGGGUAAAGAAGCACCGGCUAACUACGUG